GGUUGCGUGGUGUAGUGGUUAUCACAUCUGUCUCACACACAGAAGGUCCCCGGUUCAAGCCCGGGCGCAAUCA